rnacentral:rRNA from 1 species
UACGGAGGGUGCGAGCGUUGUCCGGAAUUAUUGGGCGUAAAGGGCUCGUAGGCGGUUUGUCGCGUCGGGAGUGAAAACACGGGGCUUAACCCCGUGCCUGCUUCCGAUACGGGCAGACUAGAGGUAUGCAGGGGAGAACGGAAUUCCUGGUGUAGCGGUGAAAUGCGCAGAUAUCAGGAGGAACACCGGUGGCGAAGGCGGUUCUCUGGGCAUUACCUGACGCUGAGGAGCGAAAGUGUGGGGAGCGAACAGG